UCAACACAAUGCACAUCACUGUCCACUCAUCUUUCUCUGGGGUAAGGUUGUACAUGUAAGUAUACAGGUAACAAACAGUUACUCCUGAAUCUUGGCAUCCAACCGCAAGGACAGCAUGAAUCUAGCUUCCUUUACUUCACAGCAUGUUUACUUUUAGUGUUUAGGCUGUUUAGCGUGGAGACCUGGGUAUGACGUAUUACUGAACACGACUGCUAGACAUCAGUAAAAUGGGAACGGGGCCUGCUCCAGCAAGCUUUGACCAGGGACAUUUUAUGAAAUUGCUACCUAGUACUAAAUGCUCUGUAUCAGUGCCCUUUCUGGGAUUCAGACUGGCAGAUCUAAUGGGUUCUCUUAGUGCAUAAAGCCUAGCGUUAUCUGUUAUUCUAGUGCUUAUCAUUUGCAAAAUGCUAGUCUCUACAGACCGCCGGGACUACAGCAGCCUGGCAGCAGGGCAUGGGUCCAUACUUUGCAGCUGAAUUAGAAUGAGACAGCUUUACAUUAACUAGGAAGCACCAGGCACUGCUGGCCACAUUUUAUGUCUUUGGUUUGUAAACGGUGUCUAUAAAGGAUCAUUCAAUUUAUAGCAAGUUACAUAUAUUCUGUAUAUUAGCACAGCCCAUUCUACCCUCUUCAAGCUCCUCACCCCCCAUUUGCCAGGGGCCUGCCUCCACAGCAGACACAGUGCAAAGACGCCAGAUUUCUUUAAAAGCAAUUUAUUUCUGAUUACAAAAUACAGGUGAGGAGCAUGGGCGAUGCCUGUAACCCCUUGGUUCUGCAGAGUAUAUGACCAGGUGGAAAGUCCAACAGAUGCCCCACUCACAAGAUAG
rnacentral:lncRNA from 1 species